rnacentral:misc_RNA from 1 species
AAGUCGUAACAAGGUCUCCGUAGGUGAACCUGCGGAGGGAUCAUUAACACGUAUUAACACGUAUCAACCAACUGUGAACUUAUAGACGUAAAAUUUAUUUUAUGUCCUCUACCUAACUCAAAUUGUAUUGUUAGCUUAUAACUAUUGUGGAAGGUUAUGUAUGUAAUGUAUGUAACUAGUUAUAGCUAGAGAGUGUUUACUCACUCAAAUCUAUUUGAAUUAGGCAUUUUAUUCUCUAUAGCACUUUCACACUAGCCAAACCCAUUUCACCCUUCUUAUAAAUUGUAUGACUGAAAAAAUAUUGUUGUAUAUGUAAUGUAUACAUAAAUAUUGAUAUUCACAACUAAAAGCACAACUCUUAGCAACGGAUAUCUUGGUUUUC